AGAGUUUGAUCCUGGCUCAGGACGAACGCUGGCGGCGUGCCUAAUACAUGCAAGUAGAACGCUGAAGGAGGAGCUUGCUUCUCUGGAUGAGUUGCGAACGGGUGAGUAACGCGUAGGUAACCUGCCUGGUAGCGGGGGAUAACUAUUGGAAACGAUAGCUAAUACCGCAUAAGAGUAGAUGUUGCAUGACAUUUGCUUAAAAGGUGCACUUGCAUCACUACCAGAUGGACCUGCGUUGUAUUAGCUAGUUGGUGGGGUAAGGGCUCACCAAGGCGACGAUACAUAGCCGACCUGAGAGGGUGAUCGGCCACACUGGGACUGAGACACGGCCCAGACUCCUACGGGAGGCAGCAGUAGGGAAUCUUCGGCAAUGGACGGAAGUCUGACCGAGCAACGCCGCGUGAGUGAAGAAGGUUUUCGGAUCGUAAAGCUCUGUUGUAAGAGAAGAACGAGUGUGAGAGUGGAAAGUUCACACUGUGACGGUAUCUUACCAGAAAGGGACGGCUAACUACGUGCCAGCAGCCGCGGUAAUACGUAGGUCCCGAGCGUUGUCCGGAUUUAUUGGGCGUAAAGCGAGCGCAGGCGGUUAGAUAAGUCUGAAGUUAAAGGCUGUGGCUUAACCAUAGUAGGCUUUGGAAACUGUUUAACUUGAGUGCAAGAGGGGAGAGUGGAAUUCCAUGUGUAGCGGUGAAAUGCGUAGAUAUAUGGAGGAACACCGGUGGCGAAAGCGGCUCUCUGGCUUGUAACUGACGCUGAGGCUCGAAAGCGUGGGGAGCAAACAGGAUUAGAUACCCUGGUAGUCCACGCUGUAAACGAUGAGUGCUAGGUGUUAGACCCUUUCCGGGGUUUAGUGCCGUAGCUAACGCAUUAAGCACUCCGCCUGGGGAGUACGACCGCAAGGUUGAAACUCAAAGGAAUUGACGGGGGCCCGCACNUUUUGUGAUAAAAUGUAAUUGUUCCAUAUGAUUCUUUCUAAUGAGUUGUUUUGUCGCUUUUCAUUAUAGAUCUUAUGGGACUUUUUUUCUACCCAAAAUAGGCUCCAUAAUAUCCAUAGGGAAUUUACCCACUACAAAUAUUAUAGAGCCCAAAGUUUUAGGUCGCUUGAUAAUAUGCGUUUUUUGAAUUUUAUAGACUGCUCGUUUAAACUCUAUUUACUUCGUACCUUCUGGAGCGAGACGGAAUAUUAGUCACAUACAAAAUGAGUACUAUUAGGAUUUUAUUUUCAUGUACAAUUUCAGCCAGUCUUGUUAUAAUCAGCCUAUAGGAAUCAAGGAGGUGACUCUUAUGGCUGUUUUUGUGUCUUUGGAUGGAAUUGUGGUAGAAGUCCUUGAUGUCUUUUCU
rnacentral:rRNA from 1 species